AUGCUCAAACAGAGGAUUGUGGGUUUGGCGGCAAUCGAGCGGGCACGAAAGAGGCAAGCAUCCAGGGUAACUUGGCUUCGAGCUGGAGACACCAAAACUGCUUUCUUUCAGGCGAAGAUCAAUGGCCGGCACCGUAAAAACUUCAUUCACGCCCUGAGCUCGGGAGACGGAGGGAGCACGGUGACCACGCACGAAGACAAGGCAGAUAUGAUCCAUCAACACUUCACACAGCUGCUGGGUAGAGGGAGAGCGAGGGGCCAAACCAUCAACUGGGACAGUCUGGAGCUUCCACAGAUCCAAACUGAUGGAUUGGAUAACCCUUUCUCUGAAGAAGAAGUGUGGGCGGCGAUCAAGGCUUCACCAGCGGAGAAGCCGCCAGGGCCUGAAGGUUUCUCUGACACUUUCUGCCGGGCUUGCUGGGGCACAAUCAAAACAGAUGUCAUGGCCGUGUUUGAUCACUUCUACAGUCUCGCAAGGGGCAAUUUCAGCGACCUCAACCCGCGAUGA
rnacentral:rRNA from 1 species